rnacentral:rRNA from 1 species
CGGGAAGAGCUCAAAUUUUAAAUCUGACAGUUUCAAACUGUUUGAGUUGUAAUCUAGAGAAGUGUUAUCCGUGCUAGACCAUGUACAAGUCUUCUGGAACGAAGCAUCACAGAGGGUGAUAAUCCCGUAUCUGACAUGGACUACUAGUGCUUUGUGAUGCGCUCUCAAA